rnacentral:rRNA from 1 species
UACGUAGGUGGCAAGCGUUGUCCGGAUUUAUUGGGUUUAAAGGGCUCGUAGGCGGCCAACUAAGUCGGAUGUGAAAUCCCCAGGCUUAACCUGGGAACUGCAUCCGAUACUGGAUGGCUUGAAUCCGGGAGAGGGAUGCAGAAUUCCAGGUGUAGCGGUGAAAUGCGUAGAUAUCUGGAGGAAUACCGGUGGCGAAGGCGGCAUCCUGGACCGGCAUUGACGCUGAUGAGCGAAAGCUAGGGGAGCAAACGGG